ensembl:lncRNA
AAAAGAGAAAAGAAAUGAGGGAACAAGAAUAUUCAGAGAACUUGGAAGCAAAUGGAUAAAAAUCAGGAAACAAAAUGGAUUAAACUGAAUCUAAAGGUCUCAGUGAAGGACUGUGGUUUCAAAAUUGAUCAAAAACAAAGAUUUAACAUGUAUGUCAUGUGAUCAGCAGACUAAGCAGAGAUGCCCAGACCUCCCCUUUCUCCACAUCCAAUUCUUCAUGGGUGAUGACCAAGGCAGCCGACAGGUAUAAUCUCUCCAUCAUGUCCUGGGUUGGCCCACUGGGUGAAUGAGACAAACUGAACCAACUGUGCUAUUGUUGUGAUGGAUGUGAAAGGUUAAGGUUCACUACAGUUUCAGCACUUUGAUGGCAGGUGUGUUUACUCAUUACUGUCCCAUGCCCAUCUCUGGUCAUAACAGUAAAGACAAAGGUAAUUGUUGUUUUUCUUACCUAACCAUAUCCAUCAUGUAAAUUAUCUCGACAAGCAUUUAGUGGUCUGGUAGAGUGGGUCAGUACAUGGACAAUGUCAAAACUCUAGAUUAACCCAUUAACCCUCUGAUAACCCUAAUCCUAACCCUAAUACACUUAUUACUAUCACAAUAUGUCAUUUUUAUUCUUUUUAAAAUUUGUUCCCUC